GAUGAAGAACGUAGCGAAAUGCGAUAAGUAAUGCGAAUUGCAGAAUCCGUGAGUCAUCGAAUCUUUGAACGCACAUUGCGCCCUCUGGUAUUCCGGAGGGCAUGCCUGUUCGAGCGUCAUUAUCACCCCUCAAGCCCGGCUUGUUGUUGGAUGCAGCGCUUAUCCCGCUCCUCCCAAAGAUAAUGACGGCGUCUGCGACGACUCCUGUACACUGAGCUUUCGGGCACGUACACGGCUAGAAGUCCAGACCCGGUCGCCGUCCCCCCCGCGGGGACACCCAUUACCACAAGGUUGACCUCGGAUCAGGUAGGAAUACCCGCUGAACUUAAGCAUACAAUAAGCGGAGGA
rnacentral:misc_RNA from 1 species